rnacentral:lncRNA from 1 species
AACCGAACCGGAGUGCCAACCAACGGCACAACAGGCACACACACACACAACACACAACACACACACAACACCCGCUCCUCCUCCUCCUCCUCCCCUGGGUUGCACCGCCGGGCUGGGAGUUCGCCUGUUGGCGGUGGUGGUGGUGGUGUUGUUGCUCUUUGGUUGUUGUUGGUUGGAGUGACAAUAAACCAGCGUUAAUGCGGCCCCAAUCGCAACAGGCGGCGGCAACAACCGACCGACCUCCAACCACCGAACCAGCCAAACCAAGCAAGUGACCACUGGCAUGACAACAGGCACAUGCACACACAACACAACACAACGCACAACACAACACAACACACACACAACACCCGCUCCUCCUCCUCCUCCUCCCCCCGGUGGCACCGCCGGGCUGGGAGUUCGCCUGUUGGCGGUGGUGGUGGUGGUGGUGUUGGAGUGACAAUAAAGCAGCGUUAAUGCGGCCCCGCUCGCAACAACCGACUGACCUCCAACCACCGCCAACCACCGAACCAGAUGAACUGAGUGAGUGACCACCGGCAUGACAACAGGCGCACGCACACACAACACAACACAACACAACACAACACACAACACCCGCUCCUCCUCCUCCUCCUCCCCUGGGUGACACUGCCGGGCUGGGAGUUCGCCUGUUGGUGGUGGUGGUGGUGGUAGUGUUGGUGGUGUUGUUGGUUGGAGUGACAAUAAACCAGUGUUAACACGGCCCCACUCGCAACAACCGACUGACCUCCAACCACCGCCAACCACGGAACCAGCCGAACCAAGUGAGUGACCAGCGGCAUGACAACAGGCACACACACACACAACACAACACACAACACACACACAACACCCACUGCUCCUCCUCCUCCUCCUCCCCUGGGUGGCACUGCCGGGCUGGGAGUUCGCCUGUUGGCGGUGGUGGUGGUGUUGCUCUUUGGUUGUUGUUGGUUGGAGUAAUAAUCAAGCAGCGUUAACGCGGCCCCACUCGCAACAGGCGGCGGCAACAACUGAAAGACUGAUCUCCAACCACCGCCAACCACCGAACCAAACUGGAGUGCCAACCACCAGCAUGACAACAGGCACACACACACACACAACACAACACAACACACACACGCAACACCCGCUCCUCCUCCUCCUCCUCCCCCGGGUGGCACCGCCGGGCUGGGAGUUCGCCUGUUGGCGGCGGCGGUGGUGGUGGUGGUGGUGGUGUUGUGGUUGUUGUUGGUUGGAGUGACAAUAAACCAGCGUUAAC